UAAAAAAUAAGUCACUAGAUGAAAGUUUGACAGUUUGGCGCGGAAAAAUGACAGAUGUAAACAAACCACUUUAUCUUUUCACUUCACCGAAUCUUCCGAUUUUUUAAUUUAUUACUUUGGAUGUGAAAUUCUGAUUUAUCACAGACGUUUUAAACAGCACAGCAAGACGUUCAUUUAUAGAUUACAAACAUUUCAGUAGAAUGAAGCAAAUAUAUAAAGCUGAACAAUGUGAUAGAGCAAUCUGCAUCAUGAAACAUUAAAACAGUGUUCCAUAUCAUGAACAGCCACUAUCAGCUGAUUUCCAACUUGGAUUUUAAUGGUAGAGUAAGAAGAAUCUUCAAAUAUUAACCAUUCUGCUACUUCAAGUUGAGGACUGAGAUUAUAUGGGGCACAAAGACAUCUUCUACCAAGCUAACAAUACAUAAAUCAUCAAGAACAACAGCAGUUUGCCAUUUUCUGUAGUGUCAAUUAUGAUGUAUCAUUAACACAUACUUAAUUGACUUAACUAAAAGAAACAAUUCAUUCAUUCUUCUCAAUUUGUGUAUGUAGUUAUACAUCUUAAGAUUGUGUAGAUGUGGUAUUAAUGUUUGAUUCAACAGUUACUUUCUGUUAAUAUGUUUAAUUAUAUGCUUGUGUAGGUUCU